rnacentral:rRNA from 1 species
UACGAAGGGUGCAAGCGUUACUCGGAAUUACUGGGCGUAAAGCGUGCGUAGGUGGUUUGUUAAGUCUGUUGUGAAAGCCCCGGGCUCAACCUGGGAAUGGCAAUGGAUACUGGCAGGCUAGAGUGCGGUAGAGGGUAGUGGAAUUCCCGGUGUAGCGGUGAAAUGCGUAGAGAUCCGGAAGAACACCAGUGGCGAAGGCGGCUCACUGGCCCGAUACUGACGCUGAGGCGCGAAAGCGUGGGGAGCAAACAGG